AGUGUCAGCUCAGUGGUUAAGACCUUGGACUACUGAUCAGAAGGUCAUGAGUUCAAACCUCAAACGGUGCUG